AAAAUAGCAAAUGGAUACCGAAGAAAUGAAAAUAUGUCUACUUAAAUUUAAUUUGGGAAAUAAUUUUUUAUUUAUAAAAUGUUGAAAAAUUAUUUGGCCUUUAUAUGAUACGCUAAUUAUCUUUCGUGCAUCGCAUGGGUCACAACGCUUGUAGAAAUAUAUGUAGGCGUAUUUAAAUGUGUGAAAAGUGCCCUGGAGUCUAUUGUUUUUUGUUUUUGCUUUUCCUAAAAAAUGUAGGAGUCCAGCUUUUUGGCAGUAUGUGCUCCUUAACCACCUCCCAAUCGGCUCUGAUAACAUGACUGGAAUAUGAUGGUGGGUCUUUUUUGUUUUCAAAUGUACCUGCUUUGUAGGGUAUCUUGUCAUGUGUCUGUAUCAGGCAUGAAUAAAACCCUUUAUGUAUUCAUGUCGUGUGUCUGCACUAGAGAUUAAGAAAACCAUAUUGCUCCAAUUUUGGAGUACACAAUUGUCUAAUAAGAUUUGUUUUAGGUGAUGGCCAUCAUUGCAGAUUUCAUGCUUGUUUGGCUUCCUGCUCCUACAGUUUCUCUUUGACCAUCUCUUGCUGUCAGUGCUGGAUCUCUUGCUAAGUUCUUCUAUGGCUGCCCUGACAAUGCUUUUUAGGUUGCCUUGGCCGGUACAUCCUAUUCGUUUCUACAGAGAGUAGGGGCCAUCGUGGUAUGGUUUUGAAUUGUUUGACAAUUACAAAUGUCACUUUUAUUUUGGAAGUGAAUCAAGUGAUAGACUUACAGUAUCUUGAUCUAUACUAUUUCGUAACGGGCCAAGCUAUUUGCAGUUGGGACCGGUGCUUCUUUGGUUGGUACUGGAAUAACAAAUGGUUUGAUUAAUGCUCGAGAGGCAAUUGAUAAAACUUUUGCUGGUGAGGCAGAGGACGUACCGAUAUUGUUAACCAGUGUUGCCUAUGGUGUCUAUAUGGCAGUUUCUAGCAACCUUCGGUAUGUGGAUGCUUUGAUAUCGUUGUUGUGUCCCUCUAAUGAUAUUUCAUUUAUCUAGAUUUCUUCUCAAUUACACGUGAUUGUUUUCUUGAUUGCUAAGGUUGUGGUUUAAGUCAACUUCUUAAAGUCCCUUAUUCAACAUAGUAUGCUGUACAUUUUUCCUACCAAAGUCCUGUAGAUUGUGAUGGACUUCUGUGUGGAGUACUAUAUCACUAAGAAUUACUUACUGAAUGUGUCCGACGAAAAUAAUUUUUACCGAUUUUCCGUCGUCACGGGCUCUUGCCUAUUGGAUUUUCUUGACUUAAUCUACUAGAAUAUGAUUAGUAUAAGAAAAAUGUAGAAUUGUUAGGACAAAAAACCAUAAAGAAUUCUAAAGAAGCUGAGGGUCAUAUAGUAGUUUUAAGGGUGAUGACCACUGUGGGACAAGCUCUAACAUUCCUCCACACGCGGGAUUCUUUGCUGGCUUGUUGAGAGGUAUACAGAGGAUUCAUAACAAAGGGAUCACAAUGAAACAAGGUGUACUUAUGGCUCAAACAAUGGGAGAAAUCAUUUAAGAGAGCCUUGUCCAAAAUCCUCCAAAAGCCUAGCUUUGAGAAUAUGUUAAAGCAUCCAACUGAAAAUAAAUUGGGAAUAAAUGGAGAGGCUGCUCAUGCUCACAUACUAAUUGUGGUGGUGAUAAUUUUUCAACGUGGGACAAGCUCGAAGAGUUACAACAACUACUUGCCCAUUCAAAAACAACCAAAUUGUCUCCUUUGGACCAAAGCAUUUGAUUACCAUGAUUUCCCGCCUCCAAUUUGGUUAUCCCCUUCCCUCCCCCAUUUAAAAUUAAACUUUAUUUUGGUGCCAUAAAUGGCAUGGGGAGGAAACUAUGGAAGCCUCGUUUCCAUUUGUUUUUAGGUUGGCUAUGGAAGUAGGGAACCUUGGUGGAUGAUUACUUUUGGAAUGAUGGAAAGGCGUCGUUUACAGAUAUUGCUUUAAGGAGGGGUAUAUAAGAGAAUUUAGUUUUGUUCACCCUCCUUAAAAGAGGGUG